rnacentral:misc_RNA from 1 species
GUUGAGAGAUAAGUUUCUACAGAAACUUCCCAAUGGGAUUGUUAAAUUUAUAUUUUUUAUAGUUUCCUUAUAAUAUAAAACAGCGAUAUACAUAUCACAACUUGUAAUUAGUGAAUCUCCAAUUGCAAUGGAGGAUAAGCUAGCUUACACCAGCCAUGCCUAAGGCUAAGCACUUGCAUUGUUUUAUUUAUUUUUUUGUACAACUGAUUUGGAUGAAGACUCCAAUUGGAAACCUCACAACUUUAGUACCACUUACAUUAUUACCAUGCUACAAGAUUAUUGUAGACAAGAGACAAAUUUCAGGCAGAGACAGAUAGUGCUUGCUCCAUUUUGUUGGCCACAAACUGGAGAAUAGAGUUCCUAGAGGAAUUGAUAUCCUCCAAUUUCCACCCUUCCAUCGGAUCACAAACAAAUGACCAUUCGAUCUUACACCCCUUUUGAUCACCUGCUCCAUCUCCAUUGACCGGCAAUACUUUGAAUGUGGCCGUAUACGGAUUAAAUCCCAUGUUAUUUUCAAUGACCUCGUAGCUUAGACACCGUUCAACUGGAUUUAUCAUGAUGAGCUUCUCUUUGGCCCAGUUGAUGAUGUUCCCACCUGUGCCGUCGGAGGAUGGUUUUGGCUUGGAAGCGCAGUAGCGGACGAGGCCCGGCUUGCCUGGCUCGCCCUCGACUUGGUAACACGUUUCAAGGAUUGGAAACCAUUGAUGAAUAUUGCAGAAGUCCUCAAAGAAAGGCCAUACUUGGUCUGCUGUCGCACCUUUCAGCUCCACUGAGGUCUUCCCUUCCCAUUUCGGCACUGUUUUCUCUGCCAUGUGUGUG